CAAUCUCAUCAUUCCACAUCACAAUCUUCAAACAACCAAUUCAAUCUCACUCUUUCUUUUCUCCCUUAAUCUUUCAUUCUUAGCGAUUCGAAAUGUCGAUGCUCGAAUCCUUCUUCAACAAGGGCUUCAAAGCCGCCAAAUGCAAAACUAUUCCACGGAUAAAGCUGUUGAGGAACAGGAGAGACUGGCCAAGAAGCUACUGCUCGGAUUCGGGUAGAGCAUAUUAUUAGAGAAGAGAAUAUGACGGCAGCUCAGGAGUUAAUUGAGCUAUAUUGUGAGCUGAUAUCUGUCCGCCUUCCAAUACUUGAUUAGCGACGAAGCUUAUUGGAGUUAUUGCGAGGAGAUCUGAGUCGAAUCUAUUCAAUCUAACAAACGCUAGUCAUCGCCGGAAACCCAAUACAAUCUGAUUUAGGUUCCUUCUCUUUCUAAAUAUCACGAUUUGUUAGACAUAACCAAAAGAGCAGCAGACGGAAGGGAGCCCACUCGCAGACGUCAUAGAGGCAAGAACAACGUGCAUCACGUUAUAGACACGUAAGUGAGAACCUUAAUUUGGUUAUAUCACCUUGCCUAUGUCGAUAUCAAACUAGAUU